CAUCAUCCUGCAAAAAGAUUUUAAAAAUAAUGACAAUUGGUACGUGAAUUAAUUAAAAUAAAACAGAAGUCAAAUUAAAAGUCAACCAACCAAACUAGGUAAAAAAUAAAUCCAAAAUAAAUUGAAAAUGUGAAAUAAAAUUCCAAUAAAAGUUCAGGUUGACCAUGAGAUAGUGGUCAACCUUCAUCCCAAAAAUCAAAUGCUAACAAUAAUUUUAAGUCAUAAAAAUAAAAUCAAUAAAAAAAAGUGUGUUAAAAUGGACCAUUUAGAAUAAAU
rnacentral:lncRNA from 1 species